rnacentral:piRNA from 1 species
AAGGAAAUGGAAUCAAGACAGUU